rnacentral:rRNA from 1 species
AAGUGAUAAUGCCGGCAUGAGUAGCGAUAAAUCCGGUGAGAAACCGGAUCGCCGAAAGCCCAAGGUUUCCUGGGGAAGGUUAAUCCGCCCAGGGUUAGUCGGGACCUAAGCUGAGGCCGAAAGGCGUAGGCGAUGGAAAACGGGUUAAUAUUCCCGUACCAUCUAAGGGUCGUUACGAGCUAUGGGGUGACGCUGGGAGUAGGGAUGAGCCCUGUGUUGGCAUACGGGGUCUAAGCCGGUAGGAGGGGAGGUUAGGCAAAUCCGCCUCCCAACUCCGAGAGGUGAUGGGGAAUCUGCCUACGGGCAGAGUAACUCGUCCCGAGGACCAGCCCGGAAAAACCUCUAUGCCAGACCCUUAGGUGCCCGUACCGGAAACGGACACACGUGGGCGCGGUGAGGAUCCUAAGGCGCUCGGGUGAUCCCUCGUCAAGGAACUCGGCAAGUUGACCCCGUAACUUCGGGAGAUGGGGUGCCUCUUCCGGUGAAGGGACUCGCUCCUGGAGCUGGAGGAGGUCGCAGUGAAAUGGCCCUGGCGACUGUUUACCAAAAACACAGGUCUCUGCUCAAGCCGUAAGGCGAGGUAUAGGGACUGACACCUGCCCGGUGCUGGAAGGUUAAGGAAGGGGGUUAUCCUGCCCUUUCUUUGAAAGAGCGGGAGAAGCUCCCGACCGAAGCCCCAGCAAACGGCGGCCGUAACUCUAACGGUCCUAAGGUAGCCUUAGCUGCCUGCCCUGAUGGCAACAUCAGGGGCAAUACCUGGCUGUAUGCGGGAAACCCCUUAGAGCCUCACCUACCUACUAGGAACGGGUAAAAAUGGUGAGGAUUGGGCAACCCGCAGGAAAUCCGCUUCCGGCGGAGAUCCUCAGAGACUAUACGCCGGGUAUCCAGCGAAGGAGGAGUAAUGGAUCUCGAUCCCAAAUGGGUCGUCGGCUUUGUCGACGGUGAAGGAUGCUUUUACAUCGGAGUCAAUCGUCAUCCGGAAAUGGCGACUGGUUAUCAGGUGCUGCCUGAAUUUCGGGUUGUCCAGCACCAGCGUGACAUCCAGAUCCUCUAUGGACUCAAGAGAUUCUUCCGUUUCGGUGUGGUUCGAAGAAAUCACGGUGAUCGAUACGAAUUUCGGGUUCGGAAGCUGAAAUCAUUGGUGAAACUCUGCGAGUUCUUUACUAAAAACCCUUUGAAGACGAAGAAGGCGAUCGAAUUCAAGCGGUUCCAGCGCGUUAUCAAUCUGAUGAAAGAGGGAAAGCAUCUGACUCUCUCCGGUCUACUGAGGAUUGUUACCAUUGCAGAGAAGAUGAAUCGGAGUAACAGCCAUCUUCUUGGUCAGAUAAGAAAGGAGUUAAAGGCAAAGCUGGAUAAAGAUAUAGUCCACACCUGACCGAAAGGUCGGGAGAGAUGUGAGCGAAAUUCCUUGGCGGGUAAGUUCCGUCCUGCACGAAUGGUGUAACGACUGGGGCGCUGUCUCGACGAGGAGCCCGGCGAAAUUGAAGUGGCGGUGAAGAUGCCGCCUACCCGCGGUAGGACAAAAAGACCCCGUGAACCUUUACUGCAGCUUGCCAUUGGAUUUUGGCCAGGCAUGUGUAGGAUAGGUGGGAGGCUGUGAAGUUCCGACGCCAGUCGGGAUGGAGCCACCGGUGAAAUACCACCCUUGUCUUGCUGGGGUCCUAACCCCGACCCUUGAACCAGGGCGGGGGACAGUGGCAGGUGGGCAGUUUGACUGGGGCGGUUUUCUCCUAAACGGUAACGGAGAAGCCCAAAGGUUCCCUCAGCACGGUCGGUAAUCGUGCGUGGAGUGCAAGGGCAUAAGGGAGCCUGACUGUGAGGCCGACAGGCCGAGCAGACGCGAAAGCGGGGCCUAGUGAUCCGGCGGUUCCGUGUGGAAGGGCCGUCGCUCAGCGGAUAAAAGGUACUCCGGGGAUAACAGGCUUAUCGGGCCCGAGAGUUCACAUCGACGGCCCGGUUUGGCACCUCGAUGUCGGCUCAUCGCAUCCUGGGGCUGAAGCAGGUCCCAAGGGUUGGUCUGUUCGCCCAUUAAAGCGGUACGUGAGCUGGGUUCAGAGCGUCGUGAGACAGCUCGGACUCUAUCCGCCGCGGGCGGAGGAGACUUGAGGGGAGCUGUCCCUAGUACGAGAGUACCGGGAUGGACGAACCUCUGGUCCACCAGUUGUCGCGCCAGCGGCACAGCUGGGUAGCCAGGUUCGGAAGGGAUAACCGCUGAAGGCAUCUAAGCGGGAAGCCCACCCCAAGAUAAGGUCUCCCGUCCCCGCAUUUCCUCGGAAGUGCGGGGCCUGAAGACCCCUCGUAGACUACGAGGUUGAUAGGCCGCAGGUGUAAGUGCAGCAAUGCAUUGAGCCGAGCGGUACUAAUCGGUCGUGCGGCUUGAUUCUCCUUU